UACGGGGGGAGCAAGCGUUGUUCGGAUUUACUGGGCGUAAAGGGCGCGUAGGCGGUCGUGACAAGUCCCUUGUGAAAUCUCCGGGCUUAACCCGGAAAGGUCAAGUGAUACUGUCGGACUAGAGUACAGAAGGGGCAACUGGAAUUCUCGGUGUAGCGGUGAAAUGCGUAGAUAUCGAGAGGAACACCUGCGGCGAAGGCGGGUUGCUGGGCUGAUACUGACGCUGAGGCGCGAAAGCUAGGGGAGCGAACGGG
rnacentral:rRNA from 1 species